AAUGGGAACGCUACAAUACUGAAAACCUCGAGCUCUCAAUAUUCAUUUGGGUGUUGUUAAUAGUUGUUUCCGGAGCACGAGUAAGGAUGUUUUAUAUCAACUUAUCGUAAAUAGUUUUCAGUUAGAUUAUAUGGAUUUGGGAACUUGCUGUCUGGAGUAGCUGGAGUGGUCAUGGGUCGACUGGAAGGAUUCAUGUGAUGGAAUUAUUAAUACUAUACAUUGGUUUCGAAACCGUUUAACUUUAGUUUAUUAAUUGCUUCCGCUGAAUAUGUUGGUUUUCA